rnacentral:rRNA from 1 species
AUACGUAGGGGACGAGCGUUGUCCGGAAUUACUGGGCGUAAAGCGCGUGCAGGCGGUUUGACAAGUCUGAUGUGAAAGCCCCGGGCUUAACCUGGGAAGUGCAUUGGAAACUGUUGGACUUGAGUACUGGAGAGGAAGGGGGAAUUCCCGGUGUAGAGGUGAAAUUCGUAGAGAUCGGGAGGAAUACCAGUGGCGAAGGCGCCCUUCUGGACGGCUACUGACGCUGAGACGCGAAAGCGUGGGGAGCAAACAGGAUUAGAUACCCUGGUAGUCCACGCUGUAAACGAUGAGCACUAGGUGUAGCGGGUACUCACUCCUGCUGUGCCGUAGCUAACGCGUUAAGUGCUCCGCCUGGGGAUUACGGUCGCAAGACUAAA